rnacentral:rRNA from 1 species
GCAGUCGAACGGUGAUGUCAGAGCUUGCUCUGGCGGAUCAGUGGCGAACGGGUGAGUAACACGUGAGUAACCUGCCCCCGACUCUGGGAUAACUGCUAGAAAUGGUAGCUAAUACCGGAUAUGACGAUUGGCCGCAUGGUCUGGUCGUGGAAAGAAUUUCGGUUGGGGAUGGACUCGCGGCCUAUCAGGUUGUUGGUGAGGUAAUGGCUCACCAAGCCUACGACGGGUAGCCGGCCUGAGAGGGUGACCGGCCACACUGGGACUGAGACACGGCCCAGACUCCUACGGGAGGCAGCAGUGGGGAAUAUUGCACAAUGGGCGCAAGCCUGAUGCAGCAACGCCGCGUGAGGGAUGACGGCCUUCGGGUUGUAAACCUCUUUUAGUAGGGAAGAAGCGAAAGUGACGGUACCUGCAGAAAAAGCACCGGCUAACUACGUGCCAGCAGCCGCGGUAAUACGUAGGGUGCAAGCGUUGUCCGGAAUUAUUGGGCGUAAAGAGCUCGUAGGCGGUUUGUCGCGUCUGCUGUGAAAUCCCGAGGCUCAACCUCGGGUCUGCAGUGGGUACGGGCAGACUAGAGUGCGGUAGGGGGAGAUUGGAAUUCCUGGUGUAGCGGUGGAAUGCGCAGAUAUCAGGAGGAACACCGAUGGCGGAAGGCAGAUCUCUGGGCCGUAACUGACGCUGAGGAGCGAAAGCAUGGGGAGCGAACANGGAUUAGAUACCCUGGUAGUCCAUGCCGUAAACGUUGGGAACUAGAUGUGGGGACCAUUCCACGGUCUCCGUGUCGCAGCUAACGCAUUAAGUUCCCCGCCUGGGGAGUACGGCCGCAAGGCUAAAACUCAAAGGAAUUGACGGGGGCCCGCACAAGCGGCGGAGCAUGCGGAUUAAUUCGAUGCAACGCGAAGAACCUUACCAAGGCUUGACAUAUACCGGAAACAUGCAGAGAUGUGUGCCCCGCAAGGUCGGUAUACAGGUGGUGCAUGGUUGUCGUCAGCUCGUGUCGUGAGAUGUUGGGUUAAGUCCCGCAACGAGCGCAACCCUCGUUCUAUGUUGCCAGCACGUAAUGGUGGGAACUCAUAGGAGACUGCCGGGGUCAACUCGGAGGAAGGUGGGGAUGACGUCAAAUCAUCAUGCCCCUUAUGUCUUGGGCUUCACGCAUGCUACAAUGGCCGGUACAAAGGGCUGCGAUACCGUAAGGUGGAGCGAAUCCCAAAAAGCCGGUCUCAGUUCGGAUUGAGGUCUGCAACUCGACCUCAUGAAGUCGGAGUCGCUAGUAAUCGCAGAUCAGCAACGCUGCGGUGAAUACGUUCCCGGGCCUUGUACACACCGCCCGUCAAGUCAUGAAAGUCGGUAACACCCGAAGCCAGUGGCCUAACCGCAAGGGAGGAGC